rnacentral:lncRNA from 1 species
GGAGUACAUAUUUUCUUAUAGCAGUUGUUAUGUAUUGAUUAUGAUACUCAAAAGCACACAAUGAUCUACAAGGAUCAAAGAUUAAAGUUCAGUGCACAUUAUACAGAGUCUAUUUAAAUCACAUUUCAAGUUUCAUUAUUACAAUUUGACACUCGAGAACAAUAUGGGUAGCUAUAUAUAUUUUCAAUGCAUUUGUAAUAGCUUUUCAAUUUGUGUUUUUGGUAUGAAAUAAAGAAAUAUUAAAAUAUGAUACACCUGAAAUGUAUUCACAAAAUAUUAAAAUGGAAAACAACCAUAUGAAACAUACAGUUCUGAAAAAGUUUUAAAACUAUUGCAACGUAA